GUGCUUGCUUUGGCAGUAUAUAUACUAAAACUGGAACGAUACAGAGAAGAUUAGCAUGGCCCCUAAGCAAGGAAGACAGACAAACUCAUGAAGUGUUCUAUAUUCUU
rnacentral:snRNA from 1 species